GCUGCUAAAAGACACAAGUACCCUGACAGCGCAGGGAGGCCAGAAGAGCUGCAUCAAGUUUCCAGGCUCCAAGCUGCCUCUGCUGAGCAGCCAAAGCCUCCCACAUGACUAAAACAUGGGAUCUGCACUGUAGAGGUCUGAAGUCAAGUGAAACCUCAUCCCAAAUAUCCUUUUGUACCUCUAUCUAUUCUGGGACAAGGAGUCAACAUGGUUUCUCACAUGGACACUUCCAGGCAGUAAAUCAGGUAUGUCAGUGAUCAUACAAUGCACACCAACUGGAGAAAAAAGAUCCAGAGUAUGUAAUGGCUUCUCAUUCUUCAUUUUGAUGUUUCUCCAAUGACUGUCAGAAACUCUAUAGACAUUAAAUUGGACUUUGGAACAGAUUUUAAGAACAAGGCAGAUGUAAAGGCUAUAUCAUGCUCUCAAAUUCUUCAUUACAGAAAGGAAGAUUGUGCAUGGGUUCCCCGCUCUCCCCCUGCAAUUCAGGCCAGCUGAGUUACCUGCAUUUGGGAAGACUGGAGUCAGCACCCCUGAAGUGCAAGGAAAGACAGUCCCUGGGAAAAUAAUUCUCCAGAUCAUGAGGUCUCACAACCAUGUUUCCAUACUGUAACUUCAGAGAGAUGAACAAGACAAGUUUAUCAGCAGCUCAGACUUGCAGUCACUGCUCCCCAAUAGAGAGCACCUAAGAAAGCUCCCCCCUCCGCAAUGAAAACAGCUGCCUGAGAAGGGCAAGAAGCCCCACAUGAAUGCAUCCCUGCAGUAGGAAUGUGACAAGCCAGUUCACAGGCUGUGCUGCUGAUCUUCCUGGAGCUUUCCUUGGGUGAAGCAUUGGAGAGCAUGGGCUGUUCUGCCAUGCAGUUCUGUCUCUGAGACAAGCUGGCAAAGAGAGGCAUGCAUUUCUACUUAUAAGAUGCAUACUUUUGCCAGGUAUUAUCUUUACACCUUUUUUCUUUCCCUUUAUUUUAAUCCAGUCAGAAUUUCCAUAGACACCACUUACAUAAUUUCCCUGCUUAUCAGCUUGACAUCUUAAUUGCAGAAACUGCACCAACAGGGAAAAGCUGCUAGAUAGCAGACACCAAUGCCAAAUCAGGUGAAAACAAGUAAUCAUAUUACUGAGGAAGACUAAAGUGGUGAAAAUAUGCCCUUCUCGAAAUUCAAGUUUAAACGAGACAUAUUUCCAGACUGACUGAAGUGACUGAAUUCUCUUGCCAGAUAGACAGCUUUGAUCCAGUCUUCCAGUAAAAAAAAAAAACCAAAAAAACCAAAACUAAAAAACAGUGCAGGGUAGAAACAUUAAUGUCAUGAAGGCUGUAUGAUUCAGAAAGGUGUGUUAAAGCCUUACUUCAGGGCAGCUGCUUGGCCCUGGUUCUGCUGCAGUGUACUUUCCUGUGCACUCACACACAGUCUAACAGAAGCCUGGACGUCAAAGAAAUGGACCAAGAAUUUUCCAACAGAAGAGUGGGCUGUAAUCCUGUAAGGGACUACUGUGUUCAUCAGGAUGCUCCAGUCUGGUUUAGUGGGAAAUUAGAAUGGCAAUCAUUUUCCCAUUCAAAGUAGCAUAAUCCCAUUUUUAAUGUGCACUUUAAAUCUGCAAGGCUUAGAAUAGAUAUUGUCUCUGUUUUAUGGGAGCUGAUGCUGGCAUUAAUAUCUCUCAGUGCCCUAUGCCUUUCUCUAAAAGAAAAUUUCUGUGUAAAAGAUUCUUGUUUUAAUAAACAAUCAAAUGUUUGAUUUGUGUAAAAGAUUCUUCUAAUAAAGAUCUUCUUAUAAAAGAUUAUUGUUCUAAUAAAGAUCAAAUAAUUU